CGAUAGGGACGGCGCCGUCAAGGACAAAGCGGACGAGCUCAAGGCGUGGCUGGACCUGCUCCCGACCAGCACCAACGGGUUGGUGUGCCAGCUGGACGACUUCCUGGACGGCAUUGUGGGGUGCGGAAGGAGUUGUCCGAUCUCUGCAGCCAACACUGAAUUUCCACGGACGAACGAAUGAUGAUGACCCCUGGAAUCUUGUCAACUGCUUGCAACGCGUGGUGGCAAGUAAAGCAACUCCUCGCUGAAUGUCCUGCCUGCUUCAUCAGCGGUCAUGGUGAGCAGCAACCAAUUUGUGCAUGUGCGCAAUGGUGAGACUUUUCUGUCGUAUAUGAUCUCUACACAUAGUUCAGUUUCAUAUCCUAUGUAGAUAGUAUUUCUAUAGUGUAGAACCAUCUGUAUGUGCUAUGUGCAUAUCUUAUCUUUCCGCGGUGUAGUUUUUCUGAGUUUUUUGACACUUGGGAUGUAGUUUAGCACUUCAGUGUGUGUUAUUCCAACUAAGAUUAAUAUAGUACAAUGUAAUUAUGUUUAAAUCAGGUUAGUUAAUUCUGCUUGUACCAUGAUGUACUUUCUUUAUGUAUACACCGGAAUGUUAUUAUGCUCAUGUAAGGAUGUUGUUUUUUUUGUAGUUAUCCUUACAUCAAGAUGUAUUUUUUUUAUCAAACAUGCCUGGGAGUAUCAUUUCUAUUAGGAAGAAAGCGCUAAGAAAGCACAAGCAACCUCUAUCGCUCGGUUGGUUCGCUGCUGGCGUUUUGCUCGAUGCAAGAUUGGAGCUGGUGGUGUUCUAUCGCCUUUUUUUUGGAGUGCCCAAUUUUCAAGUAAUUUUGUCUAGUGGAGACUUAUUCUGUGUUAACUGAAAUCUUUCGUCUCCUUCAGAGUCUUCACUUCACAAUGUAUGCACUGUUUCAACCCAUGUGUCUACAGGCGGGCAGGUAAGGCCUGAUUGGUUGCUAGCAGCGUUUUCCUGCACAUGGGGAGAUUUUCUCCUUGGAGCCAUGUUCAACUGAGCCAAAUCUAAAACCAUGUUGUGCAUAUUGAUUGAUUGCUAACAAUUUAUUUUUUGGCUACGAGGGAGAAACAGAAGUUCGUGUUUGGUUCGCAACAAAGAUGAAUUUUGGUGUCGUGCACGACGUUUGGAUGCGUGCACGCAAAGAUGUAUUUUUUUCUAUAUAAUGCAUUUGCUAUUUUCCUUUUAACUUAAUAAUCUGGUGUGAUUUGGAAAUAGCAACUGUACGUGUAAAACUGGAUAUUGCAAUUUUACAACUAAGUAAAACUGGAUGUAAUUGUGCAAUAUAAACACAUCAUCUUUUUAUUUGAUUGAUUCUGAACUCUACUAUUAUUUUUUCUCCAGGGGCUGGGAUCAUGCAUUUGUUUUUGGCAUCCCUAAAGUGUAGAAGCCAGAUGGUGCUGGUUUUUCACCACAUGGUGCAGCAACAAAGGAAAAGUUACAUAAGUAGCAACCAAAUUUUUUGCCUCGCUGGAUCCGAAGAUUAUUUCCCCUACCAAUACAAAAAAAAUGGUGCAUUUUCUAAGGCACGUACUUAUGAAACGUACACAAACUAUGUCAUUAAGGGUUUAGUACAUUUUUUCUUUAAGUUUUAUAUAAUUUGGUUUUCAUGAUUAUCGACAGUACUUGGGAGGCAUUUUGUUCGUCCUUGUUUCCCUUGAGUUUUAGCUUGAUGAUGUAAUAAUGUUGAUAUAUUUACAUCUAGCCUCAGCAUGAGGAUUAUUGUAUCUUUUUCCCUGAGUUUUUGAAGGGGGUGCCGGGAAAAAGGGCAUGUUUCGUUGAUCA